rnacentral:tRNA from 3 species
GGGUGAUUGGCGCAGCGGCUAGCGCACUUCCUUCACACGGAAGGGGUCAUAGGUUCGAUUCCUAUAUCACCCACGA